rnacentral:rRNA from 1 species
UGGGGAAUCUUGCGCAAUGGGCGAAAGCCUGACGCAGCCAUGCCGCGUGAAUGAUGAAGGUCUUAGGAUUGUAAAAUUCUUUCACCGGGGACGAUAAUGACGGUACCCGGAGAAGAAGCCCCGGCUAACUUCGUGCCAGCAGCCGCGGUAAUACGAAGGGGGCUAGCGUUGCUCGGAAUUACUGGGCGUAAAGGGAGCGUAGGCGGACAUUUAAGUCAGGGGUGAAAUCCCGGGGCUCAACCUCGGAAUUGCCUUUGAUACUGGGUGUCUUGAGUGUGAGAGAGGUAUGUGGAACUCCGAGUGUAGAGGUGAAAUUCGUAGAUAUUCGGAAGAACACCAGUGGCGAAGGCGACAUACUGGCUCAUUACUGACGCUGAGGCUCGAAAGCGUGGGGAGCAAACAGGAUUAGAUACCCUGGUAGUCCACGCCGUAAAACGAUGAUUGCUAGUUGUCGGGAUGCAUGCAUUUCGGUGACGCAGCUAACGCAUUAAGCAAAUCCGCCUGGGGAGUACGGUCGCAAGAUUAAAAACUCAAAGGAAUUGACGGGGUCAUAGCUGUUUCCUG